rnacentral:rRNA from 1 species
UACGAAGGGGGCUAGCGUUGUUCGGAAUUACUGGGCGUAAAGCGCGCGCAGGCGGUCUUCCAAGUCAGUGGUGAAAGCCCGGAGCUCAACUCCGGAACUGCCAUUGAAACUGUGAGACUUGAGGAUGAGAGAGGUGAGUGGAAUUCCCAGUGUAGAGGUGAAAUUCGUAGAUAUUGGGAAGAACACCCGUGGCGAAGGCGGCUCUCUGGGACGGUACUGACGCUGAGACGCGAAAGCGUGGGGAGCGAACGAGG